AUGAUUUACUUUCUAGGUUAAAUUUUGACUAAGUCAGUUAAUAAUCCUUAGUUAGAUUGAGAGAUUAUCUAAUCACAUGGGGAAUGAAGAGGGCCCCACCAUCGGCAGCAGUGGAGAGUAUUGGUCAAUGAGGUGUUUCCUUGAACCAGCGCGUUGCGGGGGUGAUAGUUUUUUUUAAACAAAGACGGCUAAGGUAGCUGUAAAGCCUAUUCGCAGAUCAAAAAGAAAGAUUAUAUUUGAGGAGAACUCCGGGCUAACAACGUGCCAGCAGCUGCGGUAAUACGUUGACGGAGAAGCGUUACUCGUCGUGAUUGGGUGUAAAAACGGCUAGGUAGUUUAUUAGGUUUUUUUUUAAAAAAGCUGAUUUGAUGGUUUUUAGAGGAAAUUGAUAAUACUUGGAGUACACGGACGUAUACGAAAUUAUAAUUGGAGCAGUAAAAUGCUUAGAUAAUUAUGGAAUCUCCUGUAGCGAUGCGGUAAGCGACGUGUACUUGACACUUAACCGUUAAAGUACGAGUAUCGAAUAGGAUUUGAGACCCUAGUAGUUCGUACCCUGAAUUAUGAAUGUCUAUUUGUCAAGUUGAUUAACGUUUGAACAUUCUGCCUGAAGAUUAAAGCCGCAAGGGUAAAAUUUAAAAAGAUUGGCGGGAGUUUAUAUAAAUGGUGGAACAUGUGGUUUAAUUUGAUAAUCCGCGUGAAACCUUACCAGUGUAAUUCGCUUUAAGACUUAGUAAAUUGCUGCUCUUUUUUAACGAUAGUCUCCGUUUAGGUACUGCAUGGCUGUCGUCAGUUUGUUAUGUGAGU
rnacentral:rRNA from 1 species